CUAACAGAAGUUCCAUUACUUCCUAUCUUUAUGGGCACUUCCACUGUGAACAGGUCAGAAGAUACGUUGGGGUGGUGCACAUCAAUGGCUGUUGUGGUAAUGACACAAAUACCAGCUUCAGGAACUCCGCUGUCUCAGGACCUUCAGCAGAAAAGGAAAUGGAAGGAAGGAGUAAAGAAGGUCCUUGUCCCAUGGGAGGAGGAGGGCAUCACCCAGAGAGUGCUGACUGACCCCUGCCCUGGAAUAGUAUCAUAGACACUUCUUGUUCUAAUUCCCAGUGACCUGAGAGUGGCCCUGGAAUCCUUUGAAUGGAGAGAGGCAUCGGUCUUCUCGGUGAACAGCUUCACACCCUCAAAGGGGAAGUCCCCCACCAUAGUCUGCAUCUCCUUCAGAAUCUCAAGAGGUGGAGCUACAACACCCAUCUCAUUAUAACAGCUGUGAAGUGGUUCUGGCAGCUGUGUUGGAAGUGUCAAGGGCUGAUUGCAAAGAUGUUUUUGCUAUCAGUUGCCCCGCUGGAUGAUGGCCUAGAAGGAAUCCUGGGAACUCUCCAGCAGCUUAUCAGUAAAGUCGUAUAAUUUAUUGUAA